GUGCCAGCAGCUGCGGUAAUACGUAGGUCCCAAGCGUUGUCCGGAUUUAUUGGGCGUAAAGCGAGCGCAGGUGGUUUCUUAAGUCUGAUGUAAAAGGCAGUGGCUCAACCAUUGUGUGCAUUGGAAACUGGGAGACUUGAGUGCAGGAGAGGAGAGUGGAAUUCCAUGUGUAGCGGUGAAAUGCGUAGAUAUAUGGAGGAACACCGGGAGGCGAAAGCGGCUCUCUGGCCUGUAACUGACACUGAGGCUCGAAGCGUGGGAGCAAACAGGAUUAGAUACCCUGGUAGUCCACGCCGUAAACGAUGAGUGCUAGCU
rnacentral:rRNA from 1 species